rnacentral:rRNA from 1 species
GUCCUGUUGAUUAUAAUUUUAGGUCUGACCUGCUCGAUGAUUGAAAUUAAAUGGCCGCGGUAUAUUGACCGUGCAAAGGUAGCAUAAUCAUUAGUUUUUUAAUUUAAAGCUGGAAUGAAUGGUUUGAUGAAAAAAUAUCUGUCUCUGUGAGAAUUUUUUAGAAUUUUAUUUUUAAGUGAAAACGCUUAAAUGAUUAUAGAAGACGAGAAGACCCUAUAGAGUUUUAUAUUUUUUUUGAAGUUUUAUUUUGUGGAAAUAAUAAUUUUCUUUAAUUAGAGUAUUUUGUUGGGGUGAUAAAAAAAUUUAUUAAACUUUUUUUAUAAUUAAACAUUUAUUUUUGAUUUUUUGAUCCUUUUGUAAAGAUUGAAAGACUAAAUUACCUUAGGGAUAACAGCGUAAUUCUUUUUAGAGUUCUUAUCGAAAGAAGGGAUUGCGACCUCGAUGUUGGAUUAAAAUUUUUUGUUGGUGAAGAAGCUAAUAAUAAUAGGUCUGUUCGACCUUUAAAAUUUUACAUGAUCUGAGUUUAGACCGGCGUGAG